rnacentral:misc_RNA from 1 species
CAUCAAGACCCUCGGCGUCACCGCGCUCGGUGCCGCCUUCGCCGCCUCGGGCGCCGGCGCCGCUUCCGCAGCCGGCGUCGCCGAGACGGUGGAGACGACGUCGGACCAGGUGCUGUCCGCACCGCCGGUGCAGGAGGCGACCGGUGGUGGCGACACCAUCGGGAAGAU